UCAGUUGUGAAAGUUUGCGGCUCAACCGUAAAAUUGCAGUUGAUACUGGAUAUCUUGAGUGCAGUUGAGGCAGGCGGAAUUCGUGGUGUAGCGGUGAAAUGCUUAGAUAUCACGAAGAACUCCGAUUGCGAAGGCAGCCUGCUAAGCUGCAACUGACAUUGAGGCUCGAAAGUGUGGGUAUCGAACAGGAUUAGAUACCCUGGUAGUCCACACGGUAAACGAUGAAUACUCGCUGUUUGCGAUAUACUGCAAGCGGCCAAGCGAAAGCGUUAAGUAUUCCACCUGGGGAGUACGCCGGCAACGGUGAAACUCAAAGGAAUUGACGGGGGCCCGCACAAGCGGAGGAACAUGUGGUUUAAUUCGAUGAUACGCGAGGAACCUUACCCGGGCUUAAAUUGCAGAUGAAUUACGGUGAAAGCCGUAAGCCGCAAGGCAUCUGUGAAGGUGCUGCAUGGUUGUCGUCAGCUCGUGCCGUGAGGUGUCGGCUUAAG
rnacentral:rRNA from 1 species